rnacentral:lncRNA from 1 species
CUAAAGCAAAGCAGACAACUCCAGCUCUCCACACAGCUGGUCUCUGACACCUUGGGGGACACAAGGGCCCUAGCUAUGGAGUGCGUAUUCCACAGACACCUAUGGUUACCUUGGAUACUGCCAAAACUCUUAAAUACAUGGACUUUUACCUCAGAAACUUGUCUUCAGAUAUCCUGUUAAUCUUCAGUUUUUGUUUGUUUUUGUUUUUUGGAGGAAGGCCUUCUCUCUAUGUAGCUAUGGCUGUCCUAGAAUUCACUCUGUAGAUCAGGCUGGCCUCAGACUCACUGCCUCUGCUUCUCUAGUAUUAGGAUGAGAGGUGUGCAGCACCACCACCACCCGGUGAUGUGGGCCUUUCUUACUAAGGGGCUUCUAUGUUCUGAAGUUCCAUCUCUGUGUAAUCAUUAAUAUAUUUUAAAUCCUUGGGAUGUGCUCUGGUACAUGGUGG